rnacentral:sRNA from 1 species
AAGGUCGGCUAAAAGCGCAACGUCCUGUUGCAACGCCGACACUAGCACGUCCUGUG